rnacentral:rRNA from 1 species
AACGUAGGACGCAAGCGUUAUCCGGAGUUACUGGGCGUAAAGGGCGUGCAGGCGGUGGGGUAAGUUAGGCGUGAAAGCUCCCGGCUAAACCGGGAGAGGUCGUCUGAUACUGCCCGACUAGAGUGUGGUAGAGGCGUGUGGAAUUCCGCGUGUAGUGGUGAAAUGCGUAGAGAUGCGGAGGAACACCAGUGGCGAAGGCGGCACGCUGGGCCAACACUGACGCUAAGACGCGAAAGCAUGGGUAGCGAACGGG